rnacentral:lncRNA from 1 species
GCAGUGGUGUCGCCUUCUUUCCCCAGUCCAGCUGUGUGUCAGCCCUCGGGGGGUCUAGAGAUGACAGAGAGGGGAACCUUAAACUACAGCUGAUGGUGAUUGAUAUGUUGUGUCAGAUACUGCAAACUGAAUCUAUAGGAGAUGUCCAGCAAUGGAUUCUGACAGCUGGUCAAAGAGAAAAGGACCAGAUUCUAAGUCUGCUGUCUUCCGCCCUGGCAAAGGACCCUGUCUCAGCCUAUGAGGCUCCAGGAAGAGAGCAGCUGACAGUGAAGGAGGUUCAAAACCUCCCUCCUGCCUCCAGAAUGGCAUCGAUCAGUGAGGAGGAUACCGCCAGAGAUCAUUCCCUAGAAAUUAUGCCAAACUGUGACUUAGGUAAACUGGAGGAUGCAGGCACAGAGAGGGCAGAGUCCAAGACCCACAGGCAGAGACACAUUGCCAGACCCCUGAGUACCCAGAGGACCCUGUGUAGCCCCACCGUGUGCCACCUCAAUCAAAAGGUGGUCCUACGUUACACCAAGCGGGCCCUGAUGCCUCACACACCACCUGAAGUGUUCCAGGCCGAAUGGCCCAACUAUACCCAGCAGGCACCUGGCUCACUCGUGACAUAAAACACAACUCUGGCAAUACACCUGGGGCUGGUUCAGGAAGUUGCAACGUUACUGAACGUUCAGAUAGAAAUGUAUGAUGUAGAAUAGAUACCAUUGUCUGUCAUGUUGAAUAGGUUAUUGUAUCAGCUCUAGUGAUUCUAUUCAUAUCUGCAACACUCUGAACGUUGUGCCCUAAUGAAUGAACCCCUCCUGUGCAUCUCAAUAGACCUCUUAUUCAGCAAUCGGUCAUUUUGGUAGUCAUUUUGGUAGUCAUUUUGUUCUGAUUUGGUUUGAAUUAGAUUUUGAAUUAGUGUUUCAUUGAGGUGGAAAGGGAGUUAAAAUGGGAUUUGAGUAUAAUCAUUAGUUACAACAAUACUUUUUACACUGUAAUGACAUAAGUAGUUACACAGUAAUAAUGGCAAUGUAACGUAAGUGUUACCACAUACUGCACCACUACUAGUAUUUCUAGACUGACAAUUGUUCACACAAAUAGAAUAACAUUAUCUGAAAGAUUAUAAAGACAAUAGGAUCCGUAGUCAAUAUAUCUGUAUAUUUAUCUCACUCAUUUCCCCAAUGCAUGAAAAAAUAAAGUGAAUCAAUGAAUGCUUAUUAAUGAAUACAAUAGACUGUGUACUACUCCCUUCACAGAACAGCGCAAACUGGCUCUAACCAGAAUAGAAAGAGGAGUGGGAGGCCCCGGUGCACAACUGAGCAAGAGAACAAGUACAUUAGAGUGUCUUGUUUGAGAAACAGAUGCUUCACAAGUCCUCAACUGGCAUCUUCAUUAAAUAGUACCCGCAAAACAACAGUCUCAACGUCAACAGUGAAGAGGCGACUCCGGGGAUGCUGGCCUUCUAGGCUGAGUUGCAAAGAAAAAGACAUAUCUCAGACUGGCCAAUAAAAAGAAAAGAUUAAGAUGGACAAAAGAACACAGACACUGGACAGAGGAACUCUGCCUAGAAGGCCAGCAUCCCGGAGUCGCCUCUUCACUGUUGAUUUUGAGACUGGUGUUUUGCGGGUACUAUGUAAUGAAUCUGCCAGUUGAGGACUUGUGAAGCAUCUGUUUCUCAAACUAGACACUCUAAUGUACUUGUUCUCUUGCUCAGUUGUGCACCGGGGCUUCCCACUACUCUUUCUACGUCACUCGCUCUGAGACCUUGAAGUAGUGGUUCCCCUUGCUCUGCAAGGGGUAACGAUGCUUUGAGGGUGACUGUUGACGUGUGCAGAGCGUCCCUGGUUCGCGCCCGGACUUAAAGUCUAUACUGUUACACUAACAUAAUUGCAAAAGGGUUUUGUAAUGAUCAAUUAGUCUUUUAAAUUGAUACAUUUGAAUUAGCUAACACAACGUGCCUUGGAACACAGGAGUGAUGGUUGCUGAUAAUGGGCCUGUGUACGCCUUUGUAGAUAUUCCAUAAAAUAAAUCAGCCGUUUCCAGCCACAAUAGUCAUUUACAACAUUAACAAUGUCUACACUGUAUUUCUGAUCAAUUUGAUGUUAUUUUAAUGGACAGAAAAUGUGCUUUUCUUUCAAAAACAAGGACAUUUCUAAAUGACCCCAAACCUUUGAACUGAAGUGUAUAUAAAUAGGAUUCUCCAAUAAAG